UCCCUGGUAGUCCAGUGGGUAGGACUUUGCACUUCCACUGCAGGGGACACUGGUUCCAUACCUGGUUGGGAAA
rnacentral:tRNA from 1 species